UACGUAGGGUGCAAGCGUUAAUCGGAAUUACUGGGGCGUAAAGCGUGCGCAGGCGGUUGUGCAAGACAGAUGUGAAAUCCCCGGGCUCAACCUGGGAAUUGCAUUUGUGACUGCACGGCUAGGAGUGUGUCAGAGGGGGGUAGAAUUCCACGUGUAGCAGUGAAAUGCGUAGAGAUGUGGAGGAAUACCGAUGGCGAAGGCAGCCCCCUGGGAUAACACUGACGCUCAUGCACGAAAGCGUGGGGAGCAAACAGG
rnacentral:rRNA from 1 species